CCUGAAAGGCCAAAAUCAUCUUACAGAUCCAUCCUGAAAGGAAAGAAAAAGAAAACUGAAAAGAUGCAGAGAUAUUACCCCUGGCUAUCAGCUGGCAAAGACAUUUUAAUCUAACCACCAUGGAGCUCCACUUACCUGGGACUUCCGUAUCCGCAGGUCAGCUGAUGACCGAGCCACAUCCUGCUCAAUAUUCUGCUCCAUACCUGUGCAGCCAAGGAAAAGAAGGAGGUAUCACAGUAUGAAAGGUGCUCUGGUUAUAUGCUGCAGAGUUAACCCCUUGUUUGGGUUGCAUGUAAGGUGCCCCUAUUGAUUCUGUUGAUACUCUGUUUGUUCUGGCUUGUUUUACAGGGUUUUAAAACUGAUUUAGGGUUUUUAAGAUGUGGGAAUUUUGUAGAAAGUUUAUAUAGUAAAAUGCUUUUAAAUAAA